UGAAUAGUUUUAGUGGCAGUUAACAGA
rnacentral:sRNA from 1 species